AGCAGACACGGUGGGCUGGGGUCCAGGAGGCCAGCAUGAUGUCCCCAUGGGGUACUUCUGCGUGCAGGCACCUUUUGACCCAACCUAGAGAGUGCCAAGGUCACCUGCAAGGCACCCCGGGAAUCUCAAAUCCCCCUCCCCCGCCACAAGGAGGUAGAGGAGGGGACAUCUUUAGGGACGGAAGUACCCAAUGUGUAGGUGUCAUAAGAGGCAGCUGGUGGUCACCGGGACCUGCACGCAGUGACAGCCCAGGCACAGACACUGGUGUGUGGUGGACACGAGUCUCCUCCCAGCCCCAGCUCCCCACUUGCAGAGCCCCUAACUUCUCUUCUUGCACCUCAAAGGCGGGCUCUGCAUUCGCACUAAACAGUGCAUAUGCGGCCGCACUCUUUCCCUCCUGCAGAUGCAAUCAGACUGCACAUCUGGCUCCCCCGCUUGCAGUUCUUUGCGUCGGAAUGUACCUUCGUGUCCCCUGCGCCCCCCCAUUGAGCACACGCAGUGUGACCGUGCUCUGUGUGACAGCUGUACAGUAUUAGAACACAAGCAAGUUCGGGGCGCCUUUGCCAGGCAGCAUUUCAGAAAGCGUAGGUUGCUUUUUUUCUUUCUUUGGUUGUUACAAACAAGGCCACUCUGGUUGGCUUAGUACCUCUCAUGGUGCACGUGUGUGAGUAUACUCGCUGGAUACAUUUGUAGCCGAGAAGCUGCUGCCUCGGUGGGCAUGCGCACUAUUAACGAUCACGGCUACAUCCAGCACGCACGCCAACGUCAUUGUCUCCAAUCUUCCCAGCAGAACUAUCAUCAGGGUAACCCCCUUUUCUGCACUUUUGCUCCCCACAAUUUUGUUUGCCUCGGUGUGUUUCAGUUAUCUUUGGUCAACUGUGGUCCGAGAAUGUCACACAGAAAAUUCUACAAAUAAACAAUGCAUAAGUUUUGAAUUGCACAACAGUUCUGAGUACAUGAUGAAGUCUCCAAGGGUGGGAUGGGAGUCACCCUUUGCCCAAGGCAUCUAUGCUAUUGAGGCUGCUGCCCCUUAGUGUGGCAGUCCUGAGCUCAAGAAGCCCUAGCACUUGGGAGGCUGAGGCAGGAGGAUUGCUGCGAGUUUGAGGCCCACCAGGGCUACAUAGUGAGACUGUCUCAAAAAACCAAAUAUAAAUAAAUGGAUAAAAUGCAUGUUAGUUUUGCUGUUGCAAUUCAAAUUGCAGAAAUUAUGCAAUUUUCAAUAAAAAUAACUGCAGAAAGUAAUUAGUUAAGACAGAGAGGCAUUAAAUUACAGCCUCCAGUCAUGUCUAUGGGUUCAGGCAUCUACUGAGGGGCCUGGAAUGGAUCUCCUUAAAUAAAGGGAAGACUGUGGUAUCACCAACCUAAAAGGUAGAAAAUCUCAGAGUAGCUUUGACUUGUAUGUCUUCUAUCAUGAGGGAGAGGGAAUUUUCCCCAUGUAUUCAAGAGGUACUUGUGUUUACUUUGUGAGCUGUUUCUUCAUCUUCUCUGUAAUUUUCUUUUUUUCUUGAUGAGGGCUUGAUUUUUUUUCUUGCUGAUUUGUGACUGCACUUUCUAUAUUACAGAAGCUGGUGCUAUUCUGCACAGUGUUUUAAAAACAGCUUUACUGAGAAACAAUCCACAUAUACAAUAUCUCACCCAUUUAGAGUGGGCAAUACAGAGUUGUACACACGUCACCCCAACCCAAUUUGAGGACUGCCACAAAGUAGACCUGUGCCCAUUAACAGUUUUAUCCCACUGUACCCUCACAUUCUCACACCACCCGGCCCUUGCCAACCACUAAUCUGUUUUCUGUCUCUACAGAUUUACCUAUUUUAGAAACUUCAUGAGUGGAAACAUAGUACGUGUUCCCUUGUGUCUAGCUUCUUUUGUAAUGUAAUAUUUUCUUCUUUCUAAUGUAAUAUUUUCAAAAUUCAUUCAUGCUGGAGUGUGUGUCAGGACCGCAUUUCAUUCUGGAAGGAGGGGUGUUGGGGUCACGGUCUCACUAUAUAUGCCAGGCUGUCUUGAACUCACUAUGUAGCUCAGGCUGGCUUCAAACUCAUGGCAGUCCUCUUGCCUCAGCCUCCUGAGUAUUGGGAUAUCAGAUGUGUGCCACCAUGCCUGGUCUUCAUCCUGUUUUGAUGUCAAAUAACAUUCCAUUGCAUGGGCUGGGGCAUGUUUUAUCUCUCCAUCCCUCCGAUGCUGGACAUGUGGGUGGUUCCUAAUUUUUGGCAAUUAUGAAGGAAGUGGCUGUGAGCAUUUGUGUACACACUGAAGUGUUGUGAAGAGUUAGAUUAGCUACUUUAAUAUUGAAAGGAGGAGGCAUCACAUAGAAACAGGCUCUGUGCUAUGGUGAUUCAGUGUGAACCCAGGCCGGCAGUGACGCCUGGCAGCUUGCUGCAAAAGCUUACCUUAGACCCCUCGCAGCGUCAGAAUCUGCAUCUGACGCAGGCCCCAGGGAACUCUCAGGCAGUUAGAUCCGAGAAGCCCUGGGUGAGAUGAUCUUUCUAGAGCAGCUUCCCGGAGUAACUGCCUACUCACAGAGCAGUAUAUGGUGGCAAGAGCAGAGGUUCUGCAGGGCCAGGGUGGAGCUCGAUGGUAGAACAUCUGCCUAGCACAUGUAGGGUUCUGGGUUCGAUCCCAACCACUGGCAGAAGAAAAGAGUGCAGAUUUUGGGUCCAAAUCCUACCUCUGCUAUCUUGGGCAAGUUACCGAGCAAGGAGAAUGGACAUCACCACCACGUAAGAUGGCUCUGAGGAUGAGCUGGCACAUGUGACACACCGAGGACAGUGGUGGUACACAAGAUGACACCGGUAGGGGCGCACAUUUGUCAUCCCAGUACUCCGGGCCAUCACUGUGAGUUCGAGGCCAGCUUGGGCUACACAGUGAAUUCAAGCUCAUCCUGAACUCCACAGUGAGACACUGUCUCAAAAAACCAAAACUAAACUUGAAAAUAAACACUUUUGUAAAAGAAGGUGACACAGAAAUAUUCGUACCAUUAUAAUUGUUUCCUUACAUUGGAUAAUAGUGGCAUAUAAAAUUUAAUUUCUUCUUCUACUCAUCAAGCUUUCCCUUCUCUCCCUCUCCCUCUCUCUCUCCCCGCCACUUGGUGACAGCUUGCUAGAAUUGCUGGAAGAUGCUAAGCAAGGGUAAAGGUGCCAAGGGUGUAGUUCCAGGCUUGGAAGGGAGCAGCGCUGCCUGGCAUCUUGGGAUCCUUGCUGAACAUCCGGCAGGAAAGUGGCGAGAAGGUUCUGUCCCCCUCCCCGCAGGCCUGAGAGGCUCAUGACAGUGACAGCAAGGGACUCUCAGGACACAGCAGGGCCUGGCCUAGUCAGUGUGGCAGAGGGUCAACCUGUGUGUCCUUGGGAGCGUCUCCUGAGCCUUGUGCUGUGCCAGCUCCCCUGGGACCUGGCAUCUGGCUCCUGGCAGCCUCCCCGCUGUCACCCUUCUGCAGCACAGGGUCCCUUCUCAGGGUGUCCAGCCUCCAUCUACCCGGUGGAAGGCGACGAGGGAGCAGGUGGGUGCUGUGGCCGCAGUGGGGUCUGACACACCUCCACGGCAGGGGGCAUCUGGGGUCUGUCCCCAGCAGGCUGCUCCAGGGUCUGGUUCCACAGUCUUCAGGACCUGGCUCCCGGCCUCACACAGCUGGGGCAAAGGGCAGGGUUCAGGGUAUCAGAGUGGCCGAGUCAUCCCAUAAACCUCAUCAGUGCAAAGCGUGGGAACCAGGCAGGGUUAGACGCAGACCCCAGUGAACAGGGAGCCUCUGUGCAGAAACCAGCGGGGAAGAAACACACCGAGGGAAGCGGGCGAUGGGGGUACAGCGAGGGAGAAGCGGGAAGAUGGAAGGAGGGUGAGCCAGAGACAGGGUCCUCCCGUGGGGCCAGAUGUCCAGGGUGGCCAUUCCCACAGCUGCCCGGCCAGGCCCUGGGCAGCCCCACACUGACACCGUCACACAAAACCAGGCUCAGAUCCAGAGGCCCAUGUCACAAACUGAUUCUGCCCGUGACCAUGUAGGGGGACUCAGCAGGUUGCCCGAUGUCUCUGCACCACGGUUUCUCCAGCCGGGGGCUGGGGGAUGACCAGGGGCUGCCUCCCAGGCUGUCGGGAGGAUAUGGGGCUGCCCGCCCCGCAAGGCCUCUGCUCAGAGACCACGCCACACAGGAGAGGGAUGAAGGCCCUGGAGCUAACGGGGAAGCCAGGGCCAUGACCUAUGGGCACCAACUGGAAGAGGAAGGUCCCAGAAGGGGGUAAGGCAGGAUCUCUGGCCCUGGGUCAGAGGACAGGGUGUAGCAAGCCAGAACAGGUGCAGCGUGAGGCUUCCUCAUCCUCUAGAUUCUCCAGGAAGGACCAGGAAAGGUGAAGCGAGGCUGCGGAAGCUUGGAGACAAGAGGAGAAAGUGGGUGUUUGUGUUUGUGUAGCACCACCCAUGUGCCGGGCUUUACCCCAGGGCUCCCUGACAGCCAGGUGCCCAUUCAAUGCUUCCCAGAACGCUAUGGGGCAAGGAAAUCAUCAGUCCAUUCAGCAGCUGGUAAAACUGAGGCCCAGUGAGGGUGGGACUUGCUGAAGAACAUCCAUGUACACGGGGUGGGAAAGGCUCAGCAGGCGUCUCUCCAAGGCCACCCUUACUGCCACGGCCAUCUGCCACCUCCAAGUGUGUCCCAUCCACGAAGCCAGGAGCUGUGCGAGGGAAGGGAGGUCCCCCAGCUGCCAGAACCACAGCAGAGACCGCGAGGGCCUUCCGCCCUGUCUACCCCAAAGUCAGAGGGUAUGGGGCCUGCCGGGCAGGCUAAGGAGGGUGUGGACAGAGGGGACCAGGAGGACAGCUGGCCAACAACAGUGUUCGGCCGCGAGAAGCCACUUCCCAGAAGGCUCUGUGGUCGGCUGGCGUUGUUUAUGCUCCCCCACGAGGGCAGGGCCACAGAGAGAGGGCAUUUCCACAGAACAAAGGCAUCUCGGCCGCCCCGCAGGCCUCCUCCCAGAAAGCCACGGCCUCUUUUCAUAAACUCCAGCACAAAACACUCACUGCAGACAGCUCUGGGGGCCACCACCCGCCCGGCUGGGCGGGACGCCAGGCCCCAGUAGGCUGGCUUGACCCAGGCCCGGCCUUGUACCCCCUGGGGAAGCCCACUGCUGGGAGCUGGACCAUAAAUCACCUUUCGUGGCACGGACAGGCCCUCUAGGGACCAGGGAGGCGAGGGCGGCGACUCAAGACACACAGUAGGUCAGAGAGGAGCUGGGGUGGGGGAGGGAGGCGGAGGCAGGGUCCUCUGACCUCUCAGUCAGGGCCACAGUCGCUGCAGGAGGGCAGCCUGAGAAGUGGGAGGCUGCGGCUGGUGGGGGUGGGAAGAGAGACCGAGCCAAGGAACUGAAAAGCCAGCAGUUGGGUGGGGACGGGGAGGAGCCAGCAGGCAGCUUGGGAGGAGGCAGAGGAUGCUGACGCUGUCUGGAUACUUCUGUGUUUCCUUCUCAUCAGCUCAUGAGUUCUCUUGAGGGUGGCUGAGAGGGGGUGAGUUCCCCAUCACUGGGGGCAUGCAAGUAGAGCCUAGAUAAACAACAAUCGGUGACUGUCAGAGACGGGCACCAAAGUGCUGUCCCAGCUCACACAGCACGCAGGACAGUGAAUGAAGAGCUGGCACGGUUCCGCAUUCCAGAGUGCACAAAGCCUUCCUAACUCGCGCUCCGCCCGCUGGAUGGGUGACAGGAACGCCAUUAAAGCAGUGGCGAUGACUGUUUUGUUAGGGGUUUGGGAAAAUGCUUGGAGAGAAAGCAGGAACGCGCUGGACCCCUGCCCCUCUCCCACCGCGAGAAGGAAAAAUGCACCAGGAAACAGCCGGAAGAUGCAAGGUUCCUGGCCUGCAGCCCCUCCUGCCCACCAGGGGGCGCCCGGUGCUUUCCCAAGGUGAGAGCCCCACGGAAGAGGAGUCUGGAUCUAUCCUGGCCUGCCUCAGCCUGCAGCUGUGGACACGGGCUGGGCACGGGCACAGGCUGGCUUCUGGCUGUUGGAUGUUUGGACCACGUGGACGUCUGUCAAGCCACCGUGCUCCCAGACUCCAAGGGCACGCCACUCCCCACCCUCCACCCCAGCGGCCCCCUCUGUGUUAAAGGCCCCCAAGGGAUUCACCCCUUCUGCUGACCCAGCUGAAUGGUCCCUGCCCCUGCUGUGUGAAACCCCUCCGGACUGAGUCACCCUAGGGCGAAGCUUGAUCCUCACCUGCUCCCUUUAGACCUGAAGUCCCUUUUACACAGAAAUGACAAUUGUGGCCCUUGGUGGCUUGGGCCCACAGUGGCAGGACUCUCUG